GAUGAACGCUGGCGGCAGGCUUAACACAUGCAAGUCGAGCGGGGGAAGGUAGCUUGCUACUGGACCUAGCGGCGGACGGGUGAGUAAUGCUUAGGAAUCUGCCUAUUAGUGGGGGACAACAUCUCGAAAGGGAUGCUAAUACCGCAUACGUCCUACGGGAGAAAGCAGGGGAUCUUCGGACCUUGCGCUAAUAGAUGAGCCUAAGUCGGAUUAGCUAGUUGGUGGGGUAAAGGCCUACCAAGGCGACGAUCUGUAGCGGGUCUGAGAGGAUGAUCCGCCACACUGGGACUGAGGCACGGCCCAGACUCCGACGGGAGGCAGCAGUGGGGAAUAUUGGACAAUGGGGGGAACCCUGAUCCAGCCAUGCCGCGUGUGUGAAGAAGGCCUUAUGGUUGUAAAGCACUUUAAGCGAGGAGGAGGCUACUUUAGUUAAUACCUAGAGAUAGUGGACGUUACUCGCAGAAUAAGCACCGGCUAACUCUGUGCCAGCCGCCGCAGUAA
rnacentral:rRNA from 1 species